CAGCCGCCGCGGGAAUACGUAGGGUGCGAGCGUUAAUCGGAAUUACUGGGCGUAAAGAGUGCGUAGGCGGUGCUCUAAGUCUGUCGUGAAAUCUCCCGGCUUAACUGGGAGGGUGCGGCGGAAACUGGAAUGCUCGAGUAUGGGAGAGGUAAGCGGAAUUCCUGGUGUAGCGGUGAAAUGCGUAGAUAUCAGGAGAAACACCUGUGGUGUAGACAGCUUACUGGACCAUGACUGACGCUGAGGCACGAAAGCGUGGGUAGCAAACAGGAUUAGAUACCCGUGUAGUCCCUGUCUCUUAUAC
rnacentral:rRNA from 1 species